rnacentral:misc_RNA from 1 species
AUGAAUCUACUGACUCCAAUUUUCAGAUCAGCGACAAAUUCUUUUUGCAAGACGUUAGCUUGCAGUGCCUCUUUGAGGCAAUACAGUGGAUUUAAGAUUGACAACCUCGACCAUUUUGUUAUAACAGUCAAGGAUAUCAACAAAACAUGCGAUUUCUACUCGAAGGUGCUGGGAAUGGAAGUUACAACCUUCAAGGGCAACAGAAAAGCUUUAACUUUCGGCUCCCAGAAGAUCAACAUCCACGAACAUGGAAAAGAAUUUGAGCCAAAAGCUCACCUACCGACUCCCGGUUCAGCAGACGUUUGUUUUAUCACGCGGGAAAAUUUGAAUUCUGUUAUUAAACAUUUAGAGGAAAAUAAUGUGGAAAUUACCGAAGGUCCUGUGGAUAGAACGGGUGCCACUGGACCAAUCAAAUCGGUGUACUUCCGAGACCCUGACCACAACCUCAUAGAAAUCUCUAACUAUACACAGGACUGAAGAGUUGCGUCCCUUUUUAUGGAUGUCGACAAUUACGACAAACUAUUUAAAAAUAUCAACCCGUGAUUGGAUGCUUUCUUAAGAUAUGAAUAUCCAAGAAACAGCUGGAAUGUCAUUCAACAUGAAUAAAUGAUACUGCCAAAAUAAGUUAAAAAAACUGAUUUCAUGGUUUUGUAUUACCCCAUUUCCGUUUCCUCUGGGUAAAGUAUUUCACCUCACACCCAUAUAAAAGUUUAGAAUUUUGGGACGUCUCUUCUUUUUGUUUUUUUCUUCUUAUGCCCUGGUCCUACUAUAGGUAAUGAUAAUUUACACUAAGCGGUUCCCUGCCCUUUUAGGAAAAAUAUUCUGGUCUAUUGACUGCUGAGGCAUCAUAUAAUUGUACAUUAUAAAGGGCAAUGUGCC